rnacentral:tRNA from 1 species
AAUGAAUUGCCUGAUAAAAGGAUUAUCUUGAUAGGAUAAAUAAUGUAAUUAUAAUUACAUUCAUUAAUAUUA